AAAGUGUAUUGUCAACUGUCAACAUCGAAAGUGAAACAACAGUUGUACUCACCGAGUUGCCGAGUUCUCUGGCGUCUUGUCUCCUGUGUUACUACAGUUACAAUAUUACAAACCAUAUUAUUACAAUGGCUGCAGACAGAUAUGUCCAGCGGAAAGUAAGUUCAUGGUGUUUGA